AUUGAACGCUGGCNGCAUGCUUCCACACAUGCAAGUCGAACGGCAGCGCGGGGCAACCUGGCGGCGAGUGGCGAACGGGUGAGUAAUAUAUCGGAACGUACCCAGAAGUGGGGNAUAACGUAGCGAAAGUUACGCUAAUACCGCAUACGAUCUACGGAUGAAAGUGGGGGACCUUCGGGCCUCAUGCNUGUGGAGCGGCCGAUAUCUGAUUAGCUAGUUGGUGAGGUAAAGGCUCACCAAGGCGACGAUCAGUAGCUGGUCUGAGAGGACGACCAGCCACACUGGGACUGAGACACGGCCCAGACUCCUACGGGAGGCAGCAGUGGGGAAUUUUGGACAAUGGGCGCAAGCCUGAUCCAGCAAUGCCGCGUGAGUGAAGAAGGCCUUCGGGUUGUAAAGCUCUUUUGUCAGGGAAGAAACGGUGAGGGCUAAUAUCCUUCACUAAUGACGGUACCUAAGACUAAGCACCGGCUAACUAUC
rnacentral:rRNA from 1 species